rnacentral:rRNA from 1 species
UACGAAGGGGGCUAGCGUUGCUCGGAAUGACUGGGCGUAAAGGGCGCGUAGGCGGAUGGCACAGUCAGAUGUGAAAUUCCCGGGCUUAACCUGGGGGCUGCAUUUGAUACGUGUUGUCUUGAGUUCGGAAGAGGGUCGUGGAAUUCCCAGUGUAGAGGUGAAAUUCGUAGAUAUUGGGAAGAACACCGGUGGCGAAGGCGGCGACCUGGUCCGACACUGACGCUGAGGCGCGAAAGCGUGGGGAGCAAGCAGG